rnacentral:rRNA from 1 species
UGGCAGCUUGCUGGGUGGAUUAGUGGCGAACGGGUGAGUAACACGUGAGUAACCUGCCCUUAACUCUGGGAUAAGCCUGGGAAACUGGGUCUAAUACCGGAUAGGAGCGUCCACCGCAUGGUGGGUGUUGGAAAGAUUUAUCGGUUUUGGAUGGACUCGCGGCCUAUCAGCUUGUUGGUGAGGUAAUGGCUCACCAAGGCGACGACGGGUAGCCGGCCUGAGAGGGUGACCGGCCACACUGGGACUGAGACACGGCCCAGACUCCUACGGGAGGCAGCAGUGGGGAAUAUUGCACAAUGGGCGMAAGCCUGAUGCAGCGACGCCGCGUGAGGGAUGACGGCCUUCGGGUUGUAAACCUCUUUCAGUAGGGAAGAAGCGAAAGUGACGGUACCUGCAGAAGAAGCACCGGCUAACUACGUGCCAGCAGCCGCGGUAAUACGUAGGGUGCGAGCGUUAUCCGGAAUUAUUGGGCGUAAAGAGCUCGUAGGCGGUUUGUCGCGUCUGUCGUGAAAGUCCGGGGCUUAACCCCGGAUCUGCGGUGGGUACGGGCAGACUAGAGUGCAGUAGGGGAGACUGGAAUUCCUGGUGUAGCGGUGGAAUGCGCAGAUAUCAGGAGGAACACCGAUGGCGAAGGCAGGUCUCUGGGCUGUAACUGACGCUGAGGAGCGAAAGCAUGGGGAGCGAACAGGAUUAGAUACCCUGGUAGUCCAUGCCGUAAACGUUGGGCACUAGGUGUGGGGACCAUUCCACGGUUUCCGCGCCGCAGCUAACGCAUUAAGUGCCCCGCCUGGGGAGUACGGCCGCAAGGCUAAAACUCAAAGGAAUUGACGGGGGCCCGCACAAGCGGCGGAGCAUGCGGAUUAAUUCGAUGCAACGCGAAGAACCUUACCAAGGCUUGACAUGUUCUCGAUCGCCGUAGAGAUACGGUUUCCCCUUUGGGGYGGGUUCACAGGUGGUGCAUGGUUGUCGUCAGCUCGUGUCGUGAGAUGUUGGGUUAAGUCCCGCAACGAGCGCAACCCUCGUUCCAUGUUGCCAGCACGUCGUGGUGGGGACUCAUGGGAGACUGCCGGGGUCAACUCGGAGGAAGGUGAGGACRACGUCAAAUCAUCAUGCCCCUUAUGUCUUGGGCUUCACGCAUGCUACAAUGGCCGGUACAAUGGGUUGCGAUACUGUGAGGUGGAGCUAAUCCCAAAAAGCCGGUCUCAGUUCGGAUUGGGGUCUGCARCUCGACCMCAUGAAGUCGGAGUCGCUAGUAAUCGC